UAUUCUGGUGUCUUGGGCGUAGAGGAACCACACCAAUCCAUCCCGAACUUGGUGGUGAAACUCUACCGCGGUGACAAUACUGUAGGGGAAGCCCUGCGGAAAA
rnacentral:rRNA from 9 species